rnacentral:rRNA from 1 species
CGGGCGGGCGGGCGCUGUGCGAGGGGGCUCUAGAGGGGUGUCGGGCGCCGUCGUCUAGGCGCGCCGGCCGCUCUAGGGGCGGGGCCUAGGGCCGGUACCGCCCCUACCUCCGGAAGCUCCGGAUGAAGGCGGCGCGGCUGAACUUGGUCCUGCCGGCGUAGUCGCCGGUCCUCCGGCAGCGGAAGAAGGUCCCGCGGUCGGACGGCGUCGUCCAGGAGCGGGUCCACACCUACGUGCGGCUAGUCUCGUUCUGGCCGAAGGAGCCGGCCGGCCUCAAGAAGUUGCGCGACGCCGAGCAGUGGCACCGCGUCUCGCCCGCGGUCGAGUGUGGGCUGUAUCACGUCAGGCGCGAUAUACCGGGACGUCGACGGUCUUAAGGCGGAGGCUUCUAACGGCCGCCCGGCCGGGGAGGCGUCCGCCGGCGACCACGAGGAUCCGGGGUUCCAUUACGACGACGCGGCCGUGGGCGAGGCCCCGUCCGACCUCGACGCGUCUACUUAGGCCGUCGGCGACGCGGCUCCGGGGUCCCUUCACCAUACUACGGCUGAAGACGACGACGAGGCUCCGGGGUCCCUUCGCCAUACUACGGCUGAAGACGACGACGAGGCUCCGGGGUCCCUUCGCCAUACUACGGCUGAAGUUGAGUUAAACGGCCACGUGGCGUCCGCUCGCGGCCUCGACAAGGCUCUGGUGUUCCGCAGUUGAGCUACUACGGCCGACGUUCAGUCCCGCCGCGGUACGGCGGUUUAGUCAAAUGCCGCGGCUCCCCGUAAGUCAGUGUUAGAGGGUUGUACCCAAUACGAGUCGUCGAGGAGCCAAGUUCGUGACCAAAGUACUCCGGUGGUGGAGUCCACCCUCGAGGACGUUGUAGUGAAGUUCGUUGGCCUUACUUAGUUUCAGGUGACCCACCUCCGUCGUACCCUCCUAGUCAACCGACCGUUCCCCCAUUACAACCAAGUAAACCUCCAUAGAGUGUUGGGAGAGGUCCUCGUCGACAAGGAAGUGUCUGUUGUAGUCCACCUAAACCAGAACCUUACAGCUCGAGUUACUCGUACCAAGGACCUGUCGUCUGUGUACGUUACAGGAGAAGUAGCAACGGAGGUGUCUCGUUGUCACGACAUAACGGAAGUCUAAGUUCUCGAAACCACGAUAGACCUUUACCGGGACGGUCACCGAGUCCUCGUUCGUGACUGUAGAAGAGACGAGAAUGAGUCGGUUUCGGUUCAUGUAGGUGUGGACGUGAAGGCUGGUCGUUCUACGGGUUGAGUAGCUCGAAAUACAGGUUCGGCUGACCGAGGGUCUUGGACCGAUUAGAUUGUGUCGGACCAAGAGAGGUUCCAUGAGGUUGUCACUCAAUGCCGUGGUCGGUUGGAGUCGUCUGUGUCGGGUAGUGUUUCGGUUCACAAGGUAGAGGUCCACAAAGACGGCCGCAAAGAUUAAGGUGAAGAGUUACCGGUUUUCAAUGAGUUAGGCUAUAGGUCUUCAUGUGCUUUCAGAAACCCCUACACCUAUCCCUGUCUCUACCGUUUUAUUGACCGCGUCUUCGAGCGUGAGACAAAGAGUCAACCUCUGAAGGUUCUCUACAUGACUUCGUUCACACCCUGAACAGACCUAUUACUGCCGUACGAAAGAGACUCUCUCAAAACGUAACGAGAAAUAAAUUACCUCUCCUUGGCUCGACCUUGAGGAGACGGAGGUAGCGAGGGACUGAGAGAAUUUAAACUACUCUGUGACAAUGCUCGUUGUCCGAACGGAAGAUGUCGAAUGUUACGGGGUAGUACCGUCGGAUUAGUUCCUAAUGACGUAUCCCCUGGACCGCGUGGACCCAACGGAUGACCACCACAUGCCGGUGGGAACGGAGUUUACGUAAGUGUCUGACUACCUCGUUGUUCUGGUCCCGUUGGUUCUGGAGUGUACGGACCAUACCUAUUAGUACGUCGUCGAGUUCCUUAAUUUCUACUGUCUUCACCCCAUUUGAGUCGACGUGUCCUCCGAGGAUUCUUCCAACUCCACCUCUUCGUCCAGGAUCUGAGGUCUCUCUUUAAUCUCAUGAUGGCGAGCUUUUACGUUCUAGAACAAGACAUAUUUUCAGCUACACUGUUAUCUGACUUACUCUAGUGUCUUUCCCGCAGAAGACUAUUUGCACUCCACCUUAACAACAGAUUCUUUAUACUUCUUUUUAUGUUCGUUCACCGUCUCAAUCGAAGGUUUGACCGUCAACUCCUUCGGCGAAAGGCACUACAAGUCCUCUCCUUUCAACUCGACUUACUACGUAAUUAAUUUUACCAUGUUCCACCUUCACAACUACCAAACGAAGUCCAAGCUCGACUAGCUUAGGUUGUAGUUAAUCUCCUCUACCUCUUUCGAAAAUUGCUUGCCACGUUCGUGAAACCUGACGUUAAGUUCGGUAGACGUUGUCAGCUCGAAGGUAAACCAACCCUUGGACCCGUCGUUCUCCCUCGUCAACUCACCCUACUUCUGACCCUAUUUAAACUCCUACUUCCCAAACCAGAACAUUUCCUGUUACCAUGUUAACAGCUUUUGGGUCGAAGACGACUGUAACGUUUACGUAGUAGAGAAACCCUACUGCCACAGAGAUGCCUACCCUACAGGGGACAACGUAGAAGAUUACCAGUAUAGUUCCUACACUCUGUAAUGUCUCGACCACUAGUUCGCGGACUCUCACUUAAUCGUAUACUAAAACCACUACUUGGACAUUCCUCGGGGCCGUCACGACCUUCUUCACGGAGACCCUCAGGUAAAUUCAGAAGAGCAAAACCCCACGUACUGAGCAGAGGGUGCUUUUUUCCUUGGAUGUCACUGGUACCACCGAGACUCAGGCAAAAACCUCUAUUAAUACCACUACUCUGAUGUACCUUGAAACUACUGGUUCUAUGACUUAGUCAAACCCCUAGAUUACGUUACUUACUCGGACCUGUAGUACCUUCGUUGAGAAAGAAACCCAGUCUACUGAAGUUACACCUGGGACAAUCUCACCCGAGAGGUUGACCGCGAUCACGGAUACCUUUCUUCUCGUGUAAGAAACUGCUAAGGCAGGGUUCAAGGGGACGUAUGUGCAGACCUAAGAGUGGCUUCAAGCCACUUUCAGCACUGCUAUCGAGGAGGAUGUUGAAGCCUUCCAAGCUAAGGAAGUCUAGGGUUCUGUCGCGGCAGGGUGUCCUUUCGGCGAAAAGGUCCAAACUGAGUCAUUGGUCGAGGUUUCCGCUCUCGCGCCGCCCUAAACUGAGCAGUUUGUCGAGCUCUUUAAAGCCGGCCAAGCUAAGAAAACUACUUCGGCUAGGAAAACCGAGCUGGCCCGGAAAAUUUCGUAGUCCUCGCGCCAGCGGGGGGUUUAAGACUAUAAGUAAACACCAUAAUGCUCCUAAACAGAGAACGCCCGAGUAAACAGCUAUGUUCCGAGCCUAACAAGCUCCUUUCAUGUUAUGUCGCCUAGGUAAAAAAAAACCAACCGUUCGGAGAACACAACCGGAACACACGUAAAAAGGACAGGAGGUGGGGGGUGGGGGGUGCAUGUUUCACCUGUAAAAAAAACCAGCACGAGACAUUUCAUAGGGCUCUAACAAGAGACAAAUAUCACCGGACAUAGGAACCUUGUUGUCGAUGAGUAGCACACGCCAAGGACAAAGAAAGAAAAAACAUGUUAUAUGUUUGCAGUUUAACCAUGCAUGAUCUGAUCUUCUACUGAGGGAAGGUAGUUCGACAUUCUUUGGCUC